CGACUUAUCGGCACUUAAGAAAAGUUCGGGACGCUGACUGGUACCUGGAUAUGGUGUGUUUUUAAGCAAUGUGACACUGAGGGUUUGGCUUACACCACCCCAUCCUGUCCAAGAAGAGAUUACCCUGCCUUUUCACCUACCAGUGCGGAGCUUACCGAGGAGAUGCUGGUGUGAUUGGCCAUCAUGAGGCCGCUGACACGGUGAGCCGAGGGCAAAUAGGGAGACUUUCGGGACAGCGCCACUUGAAUGCUGGCAGGACCCCAUGGGAUAAAGCUAGCCAACUUCCUCUCUCGGAUCCUCUGAAGACUCUUGUGGACCUAAAUGAGGAGAGACAGGUAGAGGAGAGUGAUGAAACUAAAAGACAUUAAAAUAUGUAGCUUUUGAUUGAA